AGUGUGCUUUGGGACGCCGUUGCGAGUGCAUCUCCUCCGAGUGGAGUGGGUUCGCGUCCUGUUAUCCCACCGUGCCGCUAAAACAUCCCACCUGUAACUAGUGAAACAGGAGAUCUCAAGAAAUCACAUCUACUUAGCUGCAGUGUAGUCCAUGAAUCUGGAUUCCUUCCAAAGUAUUGAAGCAUAACAGUAGGAUGAAGUCAAGUAUGAGUGCCGACAGCAUAUCAGGGAGCUGGAUGGAAUCGACAAGGAGACAACAGCAGGCAAAACACAUCGAGAAUGAAACUGAUUCUUCAUCGGAUACGAGUAUGCAUCAAGGCCGAUCGGGGGGAAGGAGAAGAAAAACAGUUUUGAACGCGAGAGAGAAGAAUAUACGGAGACUGGAGAGCAACGAGAGAGAACGCAUGCGUAUGCACAGUUUGAACGAUGCCUUCCAG